rnacentral:rRNA from 1 species
GACAGAGGGUGCAAACGUUGUUCGGAAUUACUGGGCGUAAAGCGCGUGUAGGCGGUCAGGCAAGUCGGAUGUGAAAUCCCGUGGCUCAACUACGGAAGUGCACCCGAAACUGCUUGACUUGAGUCCCGGAGAGGAAGGCGGAAUGCUUGGUGUAGAGGUGAAAUUCGUAGAUAUCAAGCGGAACACCGGUGGCGAAGGCGGCCUUCUGGACGAGGACUGACGCUGAGACGCGAAAGCGUGGGGAGCGAACAGG